CCUGGGUACUUGUGAGACAUGCCCAUUCGCAGGUCUCAUCUCAGAUCUACUAGAUUAGAAAUUCUCGGGGUGGGGUCCAGGAAUCUGUAUUUUUAACC
rnacentral:miRNA from 1 species